AUUUGACGUUAGCGACAGAAGAAGCACCGGCUAACUCCGUGCCAGCAGCCGCGGUAAUACGGAGGGUGCGAGCGUUAAUCGGAAUUACUGGGCGUAAAGCGCAUGCAGGUGGUUUGUUAAGUCAGAUGUGAAAGCCCGGGGCUCAACCUCGGAAUUGCAUUUGAAACUGGCAGACUAGAGUACUGUAGAGGGGGGUAGAAUUUCAGGUGUAGCGGUGAAAUGCGUAGAGAUCUGAAGGAAUACCGGUGGCGAAGGCGGCCCCCUGGACAGAUACUGAC
rnacentral:rRNA from 1 species